rnacentral:rRNA from 1 species
GUUUAGAGGCUAAAUAUCCUAAAGGCACCAGAUUCCAUCUGAUCAUGGAAGCUAAGUAGAGUCAGUCCUGGUUAGUACUUGAAUGGAAAACCACCAAUGAAUAUCAGGCUCUAUUUC